UACGUAGGGCGCAAGCGUUGUCCGGAAUUAUUGGGCGUAAAGAGCUCGUAGGCGGUCUGUCACGUCUGCCGUGAAAACCCGAGGCUUAACCUCGUGGCUUGCGGUGGAUACGGGCAGACUAGAGGUAGGUAGGGGAGAACGGAAUUCCCGGUGUAGCGGUGAAAUGCGCAGAUAUCGGGAGGAACACCGGUGGCGAAGGCGGUUCUCUGGGCCUUACCUGACGCUGAGGAGCGAAAGCAUGGGGAGCGAACCGG
rnacentral:rRNA from 1 species